GUCGAAAAUAGGCUCCAUUUCCAGAAGCAGUCGCACUUGGACUUGGAGGAGAAGGUUGAAAACCUUCCAAAACGAAUUAAUCAACAGAUGUAAAAAUCAUCAGAUGCGGAAGAUCGGCGCAGGCGUAACAAUCUACAUAUCAGGGGAACCUCAAUUCCGUUAGAACUGCCUAAAUAUUUCCAAACAAUGGUGAAGGCAGUCAAACCCAAUGCUACCAACUUU